CCUCCCUGUUCUUUUAGCUCUCCAUCAUCUCUCCUCACUCGGAGCCGUCGACGUCCUCCGCCCUGUCGUAUUUCACCCCAAACCUAAUCUCUGGGUGCCGCCGCUGGCGAUAAUCUCAAGAGGUCAACUUGUGGAGAGCUAUUCAAAAUUAUGGGCAAACCUUAUUAUGUAAAAGUGUUAAAAGAUCUCUCUCGUUUAGAAUUUUGAAAUAUUAAGUUUAAUUUAUGAUGAUAUGAACUUGAGAUAAAUGGUUGAAGUUCUAAUUGUAUAAACUAUACAGGUUUUAUGGAUGUGAAUUUGAUUGAA